rnacentral:rRNA from 1 species
GAACAGCGAGUGACCACUCACGAAAGUGAGCUUCCGCAAGGACACUCGUAGAGGUGCUGCAUGGCUGUCGUCAGCUCGUGUCGUGAGAUGUUGGGUUAAGUCCCGCAACGAGCGCAACCCUUGUUUGCUGUUGCCAUCAGGUUAUGCUGGGCACUCUGCAAAGACUGCCGGUGAUAAACCGGAGGAAGGUGGGGAUGACGUCAAGUCAGCAUGGCCUUUAUGUCUGGGGCCACACACGUGCUACAAUGGUCGACACAAACCGUCGCGAUACCGCAAGGUGGAGCUAAUCGGAGAAAGUCGGUCUCAGUUCGGAUCGUAGGCUGCAACUCGCCUGCGUGAAGUUGGAAUCGCUAGUAAUCGCGGAUCAGCACGCCGCGGUGAAUACGUUCCCGGGCCUUGUACACACCGCCCGUCACAUCACGAAAGCCGGUUGUACUAGAAGUCGCCAUACCAACCCGCAAGGGAGGGAGGCGCCUAAGGUAUGGUCGGUGAUUGGGGUGAAGUCGUAACAAGGUAGCC